GAAAGUAAGCAAGGGCGCAUGGCGGAUGCCUUGGCUCUCGGAGGCGAUGAAGGACGUGAUAAGCUGCGAUAAGCUUCGGGCAGGUGCAAAUAACCUUUGAUCCGAAGAUUUCCGAAUGGGACAACCCGUCAUUCUGAAGGAAUGACAUCUUGCAUAGCAAGAGGCUAACGCAGGGAACUGAAACAUCUUAGUACCUGUAGGAAAAGAAAAUAAUAAUGAUUCCCCUAGUAGUGGCGAGCGAACGGGGAUUAGCCCAAACCAAUGUUGUUACGGCAAUAUUGGGGUUGUAGGACCACGAUGUCGCAAGAAAUUUAGUGAGAAGAACCCUUUGGAAAAUGGGACCAUAGACGGUGAUAGUCCGGUAUUCGAAGCUAAAUGAAGCGUAGUGGUAUCCUGAGUAGCGCGGGACACGAGGAAUCUUGCGUGAAUCUGCCGGGACCAUCCGGUAAGGCUAAAUACUCCCGAGAGACCGAUAGCGAACCAGUACUGUGAAGGAAAGGUGAAAAGCACUUCGAAUAGAAGAGUGAAAUAGUCCCUGAAACCGUGCGCCUACAAGCGGUCGGAGCUGCUUCAGCAGUGACGGCGUGCCUUUUGCAUAAUGAACCUACGAGUUACUUUUUCCGGCAAGGUUAAGGAUCUUGAGAUCCGCAGCCGAAGCGAAAGCGAGUCUUAACAGGGCGAUUAGUCGGAAGGAGUAGACGCGAAACCAAGUGAUCUACCCUUGGUCAGGUUGAAGGUUAGGUAACACUAACUGGAGGACCGAACCGAUAAGCGUUGAAAAGCUUCCGGAUGAACUGAGGGUGGGGGUGAAAGGCUAAUCAAACUUGGAGAUAGCUCGUACUCCCCGAAAUGCAUUUAGGUGCAGCCUUGGGAAUUACUACUGUGAGGUAGAGCGACUGAUAAGAUGCGAGGGCUUCACCGCCUAUCAAGUCUUGAUAAACUCCGAAUGCGCAGUAGUUCGAUCCCAGGAGUGAGGGCAUGGGUGCUAAGGUCCAUGUCCUAAAGGAGAAGAAUCCGGACCAUCAGCUAAGGUCCCGAAAUAAUUGCUAAGUUGAACUAACGAAGUCAGAUUGCUAAGACAGCUAGGAUGUUGGCUUGGAAGCAGCCAUUCAUUUAAAGAGUGCGUAACAGCUCACUAGUCGAGGAGUUUGGCGUGGAUAAUAAUCGGGCAUUAAGCAAUUUACCGAAGCUAUGGGAUCCGUAAGGAUCGGUAGGGGAGCAUUCCACUCUGCGUCGAAGGUGAAGCGUGAGCUUUGCUGGAGCGUGUGGAAAAGCAAAUGUAGGUAUAAGUAACGAUAAAGGGGGUGAGAAACCCCCUCGCCGAAAGACUAAGGUUUCCUGAUCAACGCUAAUCGGAUCAGGGUUAGUCGGGUCCUAAGGCUCAGCCGAACGGUGAGGCCGAUGGCAGAACAGGUUAAUAUUCCUGUACUACCUUAAGGAGUGACGUGGAGACGGAGGAGUGACAGCGCCGCGGACUGACGGAAUAGUCCGUUGAAGGGUGUAGAUGUUGAUUAUCCCAGGCAAAUCCGGGAUAAGAGUCGAACCUGAUAGUAUACCAAAUUCUUCGGAAUAAGGUAAUAGUGCGUGUAAGCAUACUCCCAAGAAAAUCCGCUAAACUUAAUCUUUAAGGUACCCGUACCGCAAACGGACACACGUAGUCGGGUUGAAUAUACUAAGGCGCUUGAGUGAUUCACGGUUAAGGAACUAGGCAAAUUGACCCUGUAACUUCGGGAUAAAGGGUCCCAACGAGAGUUGGGCGCAGAGAAUAGGUCCAGGCAACUGUUUAACAAAAACACAGGGCUGUGCCAAAUUGAAAGAUUACGUAUACAGCCUGACACCUGCCCGGUGCUGGAAGGUUAAGAGGAGAUGUCAUCGCAAGAGAAGCAUUGAAUUGAAGCCCCAGUAAACGGCGGCCGUAACUAUAACGGUCCUAAGGUAGCGAAAUUCCUUGUCGGGUAAGUUCCGACCUGCACGAAUGGUGUAAUGAUCUGGACACUGUCUCAACCGUGAGCUCAGUGAAAUUGUAGUAUCGGUGAAGAUGCCGAUUACCCGCGAUGGGACGAAAAGACCCCGUGAACCUUUACUAUAGCUUAACAUUGAAUUUGGGUAAUUGAUGUGUAGGAUAGGCCGGAGACUUUGAAUCAGGUACGCCAGUAUUUGUGGAGUCGCUGUUGAAAUACGGCCCUUUGAUUAUUUGAGUUCUAACUCGUAGAUGCGAGGACACUGUUUGGUGGGUAGUUUGACUGGGGUGGUCGCCUCCAAAAGUGUAACGGAGGCUUCUAAAGGUGCCCUCAGGACGAUUGGUAACCGUCCGUAGAGUGUAAUGGCAUAAGGGCGCUUGACUGGGAGACAGACAAGUCGAUCAGGUAGGAAACUAGAGCAUAGUGAUCCGGUGUUUCCGCAUGGAAGGGACAUCGCUCAAAGGAUAAAAGGUACUCCGGGGAUAACAGGCUGAUCCCUCCCAAGAGCUCAUAUCGACGGAGGGGUUUGGCACCUCGAUGUCGGCUCGUCACAUCCUGGGGCUGGAGAAGGUCCCAAGGGUUGGGCUGUUCGCCCAUUAAAGUGGCACGCGAGCUGGGUUCAGAACGUCGUGAGACAGUUCGGUCUCUAUCUAUCG
rnacentral:rRNA from 1 species